CAGGUUUUGAUCCGUAGAUGUCCGAAUGGGGAAACCCGGCCAAUUCGUUGGCCGUUGCAUGCUGAAUUCAUAGGUAUGUAAGACGAACCCGGUGAACUGAAAUAUCUAAGUAGCCGGAGGAAAGGAAAUCAAAUGAGACUCCGUUAGUAGUGACGAGCGAACGCGGACUAGGUCUGUGGUCUGUAACUUAGAAACUGGAAUGCUUUGGAAAAAGCAGCCGUAGAGGGUGAUAGCCCCGUACAGGUAAGAAGGUUAUGGAUCCUUGAGUAGGGCGGGGCACGUGAAACCCUGUUUGAAUUUAGGGGGACCAUCCUCUAAACCUAAGUACUCCUUAGCGACCGAUAGUGAACAAGUACCGUGAGGGAAAGGUGAAAAGAACCCCGGUUAGGGAAGUGAAAUAGAACCUGAAAUCGAGUGCUUACAAACAGUUGGAGCUCGUAUUCUGGGGCCUUGUGUCCCAG
rnacentral:rRNA from 1 species